GAAUAUGUAUAGGCUGGUAAUUCAAUUCUAGAGGGAACUGGAAUAUUAAAGAAGAACCUUCAUGUUGCGGCUCCAUCCGACUCGAGUCUUCCAGUGGCAACGAGCAGCUCCGCCGGCUCGAGGAGCGUUCAUUUGCUGGAUGCACUCAUGUAACCAACUUCCGGAUAAUCAAGGAGCUGAGCAUUAUACACCCCCUUCACCCAACCUCCACCUGCUGCCCCGUACACACCUCGAGUAA
rnacentral:lncRNA from 1 species